rnacentral:rRNA from 3 species
UGACCUCGGAUCAGGUAGGAAUACCCGCUGAACUUAAGCAUAUCAAUAAGCGGAGGAAAAGAA